rnacentral:ncRNA from 2 species
AAUAAAUUUUUUAUAGUUUAUAAAUUUAUUAUAAAUUUAUUUUGCAUAUAAAUUUUAGUGUUAAUUUUUCAUUAUUUUAAUAAUUUUUGAAUUUUAAAAUAUAUAGCAAUUAAUAUUAAAAAUUUAAGAAAUUAAGAUUUAGUAAUAUUUAAAUUAAUAACAAAUUUUGUGCCAGCAGUUGCGGUUAUACAAAAAUUAAAUUAAAUUUUAUUAGUAAUUAAUUUAUAAAAAUUUUAUUUAAUUAAAUAUUAAAUUAAUAGGUGAAAUUUUUAUUUAAUUUAAUUUAAUUUAAUUUUAUAAUUUAAUAAAUUUAUAUUAUAAACUAGGAUUAGAUACCCUAUUAUUAAAAAUUUAAAUUUAAAAUACUAAAAUAGUAUAUAAUUAUUUAUUGAAACUUAAAUAAUUUGGCGGUAUUUUAGUUCAUUUAGAGGAAUCUGUUUAUUAAUUGAUAAUCCACGAAUGAAUUUACUUAAUUUAAAAUUUUGUAUAUCGUUGUUAAAAAAAUAUUUUUAAAUGAAAAUAAUAUUUUAAUUUUAUAAUUAAAAAUUAAAUCAGAUCAAGAUGCAGAUUAUAAUUAAGAAUAUAAUGGAUUACAAUAAAUUUAUUUAAAUGGAUUUUUUUUUUGUAAUAAAAAUUUGAAAGUGGAUUUAAAUGUAAUUUUAUUUAUUUUAAUAAAAUGAUUAUAUAUUAAAAUAUGUACAUAUUGCCCGUCGCUUUCAUAAAUAAAUUGGAAUAAGUCGUAACAAAGUAGAGGUACUGGAAAGUGUUUCUAGAAAUAA